rnacentral:rRNA from 1 species
AGAGUUUGAUUCUGGCUCAGGACGAACGCUGGCGGCGUGCUUAACACAUGCAAGUCGAACGAUGAAGCCUAGCUUGCUAGGUGGAUUAGUGGCGAACGGGUGAGUAAUACGUGAGUGACCUACCUUUGACUCUGGGAUAAGCCUGGGAAACUGGGUCUAAUACCGGAUACGACCAAUCUCCGCAUGGGGUGUUGGUGGAAAGCGUUAUGGAGUGGUUUUAGAUGGGCUCACGGCCUAUCAGCUUGUUGGUGAGGUAAUGGCUUACCAAGGCGACGACGGGUAGCCGGCCUGAGAGGGUGACCGGCCACACUGGGACUGAGACACGGCCCAGACUCCUACGGGAGGCAGCAGUGGGGAAUAUUGCACAAUGGGCGCAAGCCUGAUGCAGCGACGCCGCGUGAGGGAUGACGGCCUUCGGGUUGUAAACCUCUGUUAGCAUCGAAGAAGCGAAAGUGACGGUAGGUGCAGAGAAAGCGCCGGCUAACUACGUGCCAGCAGCCGCGGUAAUACGUAGGGCGCGAGCGUUGUCCGGAAUUAUUGGGCGUAAAGAGCUUGUAGGCGGUUGGUCGCGUCUGCUGUGAAAGGCUGGGGCUUAACCCUGGUUUUGCAGUGGGUACGGGCUAACUAGAGUGCAGUAGGGGAGACUGGAAUUCCUGGUGUAGCGGUGGAAUGCGCAGAUAUCAGGAGGAACACCGAUGGCGAAGGCAGGUCUCUGGGCUGUAACUGACGCUGAGAAGCGAAAGCAUGGGGAGCGAACAGGAUUAGAUACCCUGGUAGUCCAUGCCGUAAACGUUGGGCACUAGGUGUGGGGGACAUUCCACGUUUUCCGCGCCGUAGCUAACGCAUUAAGUGCCCCGCCUGGGGAGUACGGCCGCAAGGCUAAAACUCAAAGAAAUUGACGGGGGCCCGCACAAGCGGCGGAGCAUGCGGAUUAAUUCGAUGCAACGCGAAGAACCUUACCAAGGCUUGACAUAUACUGGACUGCGUCAGAGAUGGCGUUUCCCUUCGGGGCUGGUAUACAGGUGGUGCAUGGUUGUCGUCAGCUCGUGUCGUGAGAUGUUGGGUUAAGUCCCGCAACG